rnacentral:rRNA from 1 species
GGGUUCCUACUUGCUUACAACUGGGGGGGAAUAGUCAACUGCCUCCCCAAGGAACAACAAGCUUAACUAAAAUAACGGGGGGUCAUCACGGUACCGAAAGAAUAAGCACCGGCUAACUACGUGCCAGCAGCCGCGGUAAUACGUAGGGUGCAAGCGUUAAUCGGAAUUACUGGGCGUAAAGCGUGCGCAGGCGGUUUUGUAAGACAGAGGUGAAAUCCCCGGGCUCAACCUGGGAAUGGCCUUUGUGACUGCAAGGCUGGAGUGCGGCAGAGGGGGAUGGAAUUCCGCGUGUAGCAGUGAAAUGCGUAGAUAUGCGGAGGAACACCGAUGGCGAAGGCAAUCCCCUGGGCCUGCACUGACGCUCAUGCACGAAAGCGUGGGGAGCAAACAGGAUUAGAUACCCUGGUAGUCCACGCCCUAAACGAUGUCAACUGGUUGUUGGGUAUUUAGUUACUCAGUAACGAAGCUAACGCGUGAAGUUGACCGCCUGGGGAGUACGGCCGCAAGGUUGAAACUCAAA